rnacentral:tRNA from 1 species
ACCUGGGUGGCUCAGUCAGUUGAGCGUCUGACUUCGGCUCAGGUCAUGAUCUCAGGAUUUGUGAGUUCAAGCCCUGCCUCGGGCU